AAGCGAUUCCCUUAGUAGUGGCGAACGAAAAGGGAGGAGCCCAGCGCAGAAUCUCCCAGGCCGCCCGGCCUGCGGCGAAAUGUUGCGUUAAGGGAAAGGUCGCUCGUAAGCCACGCACGCUCGUGCUUAUGCCUAAGAGCGAAUUGAAUUGUUCGCGCUUGUUCGGCAUUCGCUCACGCGAGUUGUCGACGUACGGUUCCAGGGUGGGUGCAAGCCCCGUAUGGCGUACGUUGCGUUGCGUUGGUUCGGCCUCUAUUCCCUAAGAGUCGCGUUGCUUGAACAUGCAGCGCUAAGCAGGUGGUAAACUCCACCUAAGGCUAAAUACAUCCACAGAACCGAUAGCUGACAAGUACCGCGAGGGAAAGUUGAAAAGUACUCUGAAGAGAGGGUGAAAAGACCGUGAAACCGCUCAGGGUAAAAGUCAAAUGUCGAGUGAUCCUAGAUGCUGGGGCAUCCUCUCUCUCUGUGUCUCCGAUACAGAGCGAGGCGAUAGUGUGUGUCUGUGUGCGCGUUAGAAGUUACCAGGCUUAUGUAAGCGCGCCGUUUAUUACUGGAGUUUCUCGCUCUAGUGUAUUCGGUCAUUUAAGUCGGGUCUCUCUAGCGCAUCGAGCAUAUCGAGUACACCACCGUCAGGCCCGCUAACAGCCCACCGCAACUGCUGUUGAGUUGUCACUCGCGGUAGACGGGCGUAAGUUCGUGACUUUCUUGUUCUCUCGGUCGUCAGGUUUGCGCUUGCGAGAUGUUUUCCCGGAGUAGGCUGAAGCGCGAGCUUCGGUGCGAAAAGGGCCUCUCGUAUGCGGGCGUACUACUAAUGACAUACCAUAAGGCUGGGAAUGGCGAGUUUGUCAUAAAGCGUACUAUUCGUCGUACUACCAAUGCGAUUGUGUAUGAUCCUCUAGCAGCGUUGUUCGCUGACACACGUUAGUGUACGGUGGUAUAUGCUAGGUGACAUUGAUCACGUCUCGAAACACGGGCCAAGGAGCGUAGCGUGCGCGCAAGUCAAAGGGUCUCACUAAACCCUACGGCGACAGUGAAAGCGAGUGGUUCAUCGGCAUACGUGUCGGUGUAUCCCGGGUUGCGACGGUAGUUCUUUUACCGAAGUCUAUUCGAAGCAUCUCCGUUUUGUCAGGGCCGAUCCCGAUCGAUAAGAUUGGGCGCAAGCCCCGGGCUCACUCGUAAGACGCGGUUUCCCCUCGGGGUUGUUGUGUCGGAGAGAGCACCGAGUAGCGCGCACGGUACAACCCGAAAGAUAGUGAACUAUGCCUGGCGAGGAUUAAGCCCCAGGAAACUGUGGUGGAAGUCCGUAGCCGUUGUGACGUGCAAAUCCAUGGUAUCAGCUGGGCAUAGGGGCGAAAGACCAAUCGAACUAUCUAGUAGCUGGUUCCGUCCGAAGUUUCUCUCAGGAUAGCUGGCGCGAUUACGGCACGUUUGUCUGAUUCUCUAAGCUGGCGACAACAGUCGCACUCGAGAUCGUUCCUGCGUUUGUCGAGAGCUGAGGGCAAUAGCCGCUGCACGCCUCACACGCUCGGUGUCUCCGUCACCUUACUAACUAUUCAGUUACGUCUGGUAAAGAGAAUGAGUAGAGGUUGCGUGCCGCGCGCCCAAAUGCGCGGCAGCGGCGGGGCGUUCUACGCCUCGCACUAUUAUCAAACUUUAAAUGGGCGAGGAACUCGGCAUUUCUUAACUGAGUUAAACGUGAUGCCGGGGAAACGAGUGCGCGUCGCCGUAACAAAGCGACGAGACUAGAAUGUGUCCGCGUUUAGUGGGUCCGUUCUGGUAAGCAGAACUGAUAAUGAGGGAUGAACCUAACGUUGUGUUAAGGGGCCAAAAUGACAGCUAUUUCUCGAAACCAUUGGAAAGGCGUUGCUUGCUGAAGACAGCAGGACGGUGGUCAUGGAAGUUGACAUCCGCUAAGGAGUGUGUAACAACUCAUCCUGCCGAAGCGAGUAACCCUGAAAAUGGAUGGCUCUAAAGCUCUCUCCCGAUGCACGACCGUCAGCGGCAACACGGCUAUUCAUAGUCUCGAUGCCCUGACGAGUAGGACGGAGUAUCGGUGCGCGUCGAAGGCCUUAGGGUAACCUGGGCUGGAGCCGCCGAUAAUUCAGAUCUUGGUGGUAGUAGCAAGUACUCUGGUUGAUAACCUUGAGCUAUGAGGUUGAUAAGGGUUCCAUGUCAACAGCGUUUGUACAUGGGUAAGCCGAUCCUAAGCCAACCUAUACCUCGGUGUAGAGCGCGAGCGCAACUUGCAUGUAUAUAUACCUGGUAACACGAGAGUGUGUGUGUGUGUGUCUUUCUCUCGAGAGAGGUGCGCGCACGCUCCCCGCGUUUUAAUGACUUUAACGCUACAUAUGGCUUGUGAGUGCCGAAAGAGAUACGUACGAAUUUAUAUCGUAGUGUAUUAGUCUCUGUGCAUAUAUACACAUAUACGUUAGUAGUAGUGUGUGUGUGUGUUGUAUGGGAAAUCGUUGGUGCGAUGAAAAAUGUUCUGUGGUGGUGGUGUGACAACCCAGCUGCGUUCUAAAGUAACCCACCCUCUGUAGUACCAUACUCACAUACGCCUCCUCGAACGCGUAUAUUUAUGCUCAUACUUUUACACGCAGAUAUAGAGAUAAAUGCGUGUCUCUAUAUAUUCAUCACCCACGCACAGCUAAGUUAUCGUCUGAAGGGUUUUUGCGAGUUGUUUUAGCCUGGCGAAAGGGAACUAUGGACUUAGUUCAUGGGCCUCUCUUGGUUCCCUGAUGCGUCGCCGUAUCACGAACUUAGCAACAGCUAUCUAGCUGAGCCAUUGCAGUCUCGAGUCGCGUGAUGGGGAGAUGUCUCCUCUCAUUAAUCGAACCCCUAGAACCUGUUAAACGCCUUGAGAGGAGUUAGGCUCUAUGUUCGUGAGAAGAGUAAUUUCUCUCCCCAAUCAUAUCAAUGUUUCUCGAGAUCCGUGAAAAAGUGGCCGAGGGAAUUUCUCUGAUGAACCAUCUCUACCGAUGUUCUUAGAGAUUGCCAAGAGUGUACGUACCCGAGUCCGCAUCCGUCUCAAA
rnacentral:rRNA from 1 species